rnacentral:rRNA from 1 species
GCGCCAGACUCCUACGGGAGGCAGCAGUGAGGAAUAUUGGUCAAUGGGCGGGAGCCUGAACCAGCCAAGUCGCGUGAGGGAUGACGGCCCUAUGGGUUGUAAACCUCUUUUGCCGGGGAGCAAAGUGCCGCACGUGUGCGGUUUGGAGAGUACCCGGAGAAAAAGCAUCGGCUAACUCCGUGCCAGCAGCCGCGGUAAUACGUAGGGUGCAAGCGUUAUCCGGAUUUAUUGGGCGUAAAGGGCUCGUAGGCGGUUCGUCGCGUCCGGUGUGAAAGUCCAUCGCUUAACGGUGGAUCCGCGCCGGGUACGGGCGGGCUUGAGUGCGGUAGGGGAGACUGGAAUUCCCGGUGUAACGGUGGAAUGUGUAGAUAUCGGGAAGAACACCAAUGGCGAAGGCAGGUCUCUGGGCCGUUACUGACGCUGAGGAGCGAAAGCGUGGGGAGCGAACAGGAUUAGAUACCCCUGUA